GACGAACGCUGGCGGCGUGCUUAACACAUGCAAGUCGAACGGAAAGGCCUGCAGCUUGCUGCGGGUACUCGAGUGGCGAACGGGUGAGUAACACGUGGGUGAUCUGCCUUGCACUUCGGGAUAAGCUUGGGAAACUGGGUCUAAUACCGGAUAGGACAGCUGUUUAGUGUCAGUUGUGGAAAGUUUUUUCGGUGCAAGAUGAGCUCGCGGCCUAUCAGCUUGUUGGUGGGGUAAUGGCCUACCAAGGCGUCGACGGGUAGCCGGCCCGAGAGGGUGUACGGCCACAUUGGGACUGAGAUACGGCCCAGACUCCUACGGGAGGCAGCAGUGGGGAAUAUUGCACAAUGGGCGGAAGCCUGAUGCAGCGACGCCGCGUGGGGGAUGAAGGCCUUCGGGUUGUAAACUCCUUUCGACAGGGACGAAGCGUAAGUGACGGUACCUGUAUAAGAAGCACCGGCUAACUACGUGCCAGCAGCCGCGGUAAUACGUAGGGUGCGAGCGUUGUCCGGAAUUACUGGGCGUAAAGAGCUCGUAGGUGGUUUGUCGCGUCGUCUGUGAAAUUCCGGGGCUUAACUCCGGGCGUGCAGGCGAUACGGGCUGACUUGAGUGCUGUAGGGGAGACUGGAAUUCCUGGUGUAGCGGUGAAAUGCGCAGAUAUCAGGAGGAACACCGAUGGCGAAGGCAGGUCUCUGGGCAGUAACUGACGCUGAGGAGCGAAAGCAUGGGUAGCGAACAGG
rnacentral:rRNA from 1 species